GCACCAGUAACUUAAUGGAUAAAGUACCGCCCUCCGAAGGCGAUGAUGUAGGUUCGAUUCCUGUCUGGUGUACCA
rnacentral:tRNA from 1 species